CAAGAAGAGCACGCCCACUCCUCUCCGGCUCCUCUUCUUCUCCACCACACCACAGGCACCGGCACCAGCACCGCCUCCUCCCUCCCUCCUGCCACCGCGCGGCACCCCAGCCACAGCACAGCAAUGGCGGGCAACGGCGCCAUCGUGGAGAGCGACCCGCUGAACUGGGGCGCGGCGGCGGCGGAGCUGGCGGGGAGCCACCUGGACGAGGUGAAGCGCAUGGUGGCGCAGGCCCGGCAGCCGGUGGUGAAGAUCGAGGGCUCCACGCUCCGCGUCGGCCAGGUGGCCGCCGUCGCGUCCGCCAGGGACGCGUCCGGCGUCGCCGUCGAGCUCGACGAGGAGGCCCGCCCCCGCGUCAAGGCCAGCAGCGAGUGGAUCCUCGACUGCAUCGCCCACGGCGGCGACAUCUACGGCGUCACCACCGGCUUCGGCGGCACCUCCCACCGCCGCACCAAGGACGGGCCCGCGCUGCAGGUCGAACUGCUCAGGCAUCUCAACGCCGGAAUCUUCGGCACCGGCAGCGAUGGCCACACGCUGCCGUCGGAGGUCACCCGGGCGGCGAUGCUCGUGCGCAUCAACACCCUCCUGCAGGGCUACUCUGGCAUCCGCUUCGAGAUCCUCGAGGCCAUCACCAAGCUGCUCAACACCGGGGUCAGCCCGUGCCUACCGCUUCGGGGCACCAUCACCGCGUCGGGCGAUCUGGUCCCGCUCUCCUACAUCGCUGGCCUCAUCACGGGCCGCCCCAACGCGCAGGCCGUCACCGUCGACGGCAGGAAGGUGGACGCCGCCGAGGCGUUCAAGAUCGCCGGCAUCGAGGGCGGCUUCUUCAAGCUCAACCCCAAGGAGGGCCUCGCCAUCGUCAACGGCACCUCCGUGGGCUCCGCGCUCGCGGCCACCGUCAUGUACGACGCCAACGUCCUGGCCGUCCUCUCCGAGGUCCUGUCCGCCGUCUUCUGCGAGGUCAUGAACGGCAAGCCCGAGUACACCGACCACCUCACCCACAAGCUCAAGCACCACCCGGGGUCCAUCGAGGCCGCGGCCAUCAUGGAGCACAUCCUUGAGGGCAGCUCCUUCAUGAAGCACGCCAAGAAGGUCAACGAGCUGGACCCGCUGCUCAAGCCCAAGCAGGACAGGUACGCGCUCCGCACGUCGCCGCAGUGGCUCGGCCCCCAGAUCGAGGUCAUCCGCGCCGCCACCAAGUCCAUCGAGCGCGAGGUCAACUCCGUCAACGACAACCCGGUCAUCGACGUCCACCGCGGCAAGGCGCUGCACGGCGGCAACUUCCAGGGCACCCCCAUCGGCGUGUCCAUGGACAACGCCCGCCUCGCCAUCGCCAACAUCGGCAAGCUUAUGUUCGCGCAGUUCUCCGAGCUCGUCAACGAGUUCUACAACAACGGCCUCACCUCCAACCUGGCCGGCAGCCGCAACCCCAGCCUGGACUACGGAUUCAAGGGCACCGAGAUCGCCAUGGCCUCCUACUGCUCCGAGCUCCAGUACCUGGGCAACCCCAUCACCAACCACGUGCAGAGCGCGGAGCAGCACAACCAGGACGUCAACUCCCUGGGCCUCGUCUCGGCCAGGAAGACCGCCGAGGCCAUCGAUAUCCUCAAGCUCAUGUCGUCCACCGAGGACAUAUCUGGUGCACAUAGAAGACUGGUGUACAUGGUGCACAUAUUAAAUCAUUAACACUCAUUUUAGAUCUAACGUCUCUAGUUGAUUAUUCAAUUUACAAAUAACACCUUCCACCACUACACAACACCACGUUGGAGGGUGUCCUUAAUAAAAUAUACCAAACAACUAGAGACAUUAGAUCUAAAAUGAGUAGUGAUGAUUUAAUAUGUGCACCAUGUGCACCAAUGUUCCAUGUGCACCGGAUAUGUUGUCGUCGUCCACCUACAUCGUCGCGCUGUGCCAGGCCGUCGACCUGCGCCACCUGGAGGAGAACAUCAAGACCUCCGUCAAGAACACGGUGACCCAGGUGGCCAAGAAGGUGCUGACCAUGAACCCCUCGGGGGACCUCUCCAGCGCGCGCUUCAGCGAGAAGGAGCUCAUCUCCGCCAUCGACCGCGAGGCCGUGUUCACGUACGCGGAGGACGCGGCCAGCGCCAGCCUGCCGCUGAUGCAGAAGCUGCGCGCCGUGCUGGUGGACCACGCCCUCAGCAGCGGCGACGCGGAGCGCGAGCCCUCCGUCUUCUCCAGGAUCACCAAGUUCGAGGAGGAGCUCCGCGCGGUGCUGCCCCAGGAGGUGGAGGCCGCCCGCGUCGCCGUCGCCGAGGGCACCGCCCCCGUGGCCAACCGGAUCGCGGACAGCCGCUCGUUCCCGCUGUACCGCUUCGUGCGCGAGGAGCUCGGCUGCGUGUUCCUCACCGGCGAGAAGCUCAAGUCCCCCGGCGAGGAGUGCAACAAGGUGUUCCUCGGCAUCAGCCAGGGCAAGCUCGUCGACCCCAUGCUCGAGUGCCUCAAGGAGUGGGACGGCAAGCCGCUGCCCAUCAACAUCAACUAAAAGACGCCAGGCGCCGCCAUCCAUGCUGCCGCCCGCGCAUGGCCGGAGGAGAAGAGGAAAAUACAUGAAAAAAUAAAACUUGUACACGUGUAUGUCUCCAGAUUGUGCCACCGUCGUUCUCGUCGUUGACUUUUGGUUGUAUUGGUCGAUCCAUAUGUGUGUGCGUGUGUGGCGUUGUUCUUUCUUCUUUGUGUAGCUGCCCUGCCACCGCCUGCGAUGCGCAUGCCAUGGCAGGUAGCGUUGUCUAAGAUCCUAUACUGUUGUAUUUUGGGGUGAACUACAUCUUACGUGCUCAA